rnacentral:rRNA from 1 species
GAUUUCCUACGGGGGGCAGCAGUGAGGAAUAUUGGUCAAUGGCCGGAAGGCUGAACCAGCCACGUCGCGUGAGGGAAUAAGGCCCUAUGGGUCGUAAACCGCUUUUGUCAGGGAGCAAAGGCGUCCACGAGUGGACGAAAGGAGAGUACCUGAAGAAAAAGCAUCGGCUAACUCCGUGCCAGCAGCCGCGGUAAUACGGAGGAUGCGAGCGUUAUCCGGAUUUAUUGGGUUUAAAGGGUGCGUAGGCGGCGUGUCAAGUCAGCGGUAAAAUUUCGGGGCUCAACCCCGUAGUGCCGUUGAAACUG